rnacentral:rRNA from 1 species
UACGUAGGGUGCGAGCGUUGUCCGGAAUUAUUGGGCGUAAAGAGCUCGUAGGCGGUCCAUCGCGUCGGGAGUGAAAAGCUGGGGCUCAACCCCAGUCCUGCUUCCGAUACGGGUGGACUAGAGGUAGGCAGGGGAGAACGGAAUUCCUGGUGUAGCGGUGAAAUGCGCAGAUAUCAGGAGGAACACCUAUUGCGAAGGCAGCUCGCUGGGACGUAACUGACGCUGAGACGCGAAAGCGUGGGGAGCAAACAGG